rnacentral:rRNA from 1 species
CCACCGCAAGGGUAAGACCCCAGAAAGACUAUCUGGUUGAUAGGUCGAAGGUGUAAGUGCAGCAAUGUAUUAAGCUUAUAGUUACUAAUAGGUCGAGGACUUGACCAAUAUUUAUU